rnacentral:ncRNA from 1 species
AGGGUGAUUGGACGCUUUGACCCCUCGCCAGUAACACGCGGUCACCAAGUGGGCGGGGGUGAGCGAAUGGUGAGACCGAUCCAUCCCACU